CUUUCACAUUCUAGAAAGCUUGUCAAGAACGUCUUAUUGCUGUCCCUUUCUCUUCAUGAUCACGGUCUUGCAUUUUCCAUGAACCAGUGAGAAUUGCAGCUAACGUAGGAUGAGAUUCAGUAGCAGCAAUUUGAAAAUUGAAACCCGCUCCUUUUCCUACAGCCCCUCUACUUUGCUGUAACUUCGAUGAUAAGCAGGGUGAUGAUUUGAACAUUAUAAUGUGAACAAUUAUGAUAGAUGAGUGUGGUUCAUGCAAAAAGCUCAAAUUCAUUGAGCAGCUAUUGCUUCUUUAGUUUGGUAGGCUCAAAUUCUGCCUGAGGAGGUGCGAGUACUACAGUUGAUAUCUCUAGUGUAAACUCGGAGAUGUAUCACAUAAAGGUAGUGCAAGCAUGGAAGUGUUACUGUGUUAUGCUUAAACCUGUUAUCUUAUGUGUAUGGCUGGACCCUCUCGUGAACUACAAUUGUUCAUACAUGCAGCAAGAUUGACUGUAGGGAAUUAAGGAAAGGGGAAGUAAUUCACUUAUCCUUACAAGCCCAUUUAUCUGGCAAUUGUUUUUAAGGGCAAAUUCUGAAUGUUUGGGUACUACCUUGACAUGAGUUCUGCAUAUGCCAUUCCAUUUACUUAGUCAAUUUAAAAUAAGACACAGAGACCCUAUUCUUGCAUCUUAAGAUAUGUAAAUCAGAUAGACCACAUGAAACUACUAAUAUUUUAGUUGUGCAAUCCAACCCCCACUCUCAGUUUGCCAUGUCAUGCAAAUUCAGUGAAAUGAGUCAAAUUUUCAUGGUAGGUGCAUAAACUCGAAACACUCACUGUUAGGUUAUGCUGAUUCAAGAUGGAUUUUCCUCUGUCAUGCAGCAGCCGUUCUCAUUUAUUUUCUUUAUGCAACUACGUGCAAGUAUCUGGUUGUGGUGGCCACUCUAUAUUUUCAAUCUUUAAGAGCUGAAUUUUUCUUUUAAAUGACAUAUUUCCUAACAUGCUUACAAAUUCUCUCUUUCAGGUUCAAUAUUGUUGGUCAGGUACUUUUGAAAUCUCCUAACUAUGAAACUGAAAAUCCUUUGCUAUGUUCAGUGAUCCCAAGUUUUCACCAGUUCUAACAAUUUCUGGUAUGCUCUCAUUUGCAGUGGGCAAUCACAGCUAGCAUAGAUUUUUCUCUGGCACAGUUGAUUCAGGUUAUUAUUCUCCUAAGCACUGGUGGCAAAAAUGGCAGCGGAUACGAGGCAUCGAAAUAUGUUGUUAUUGGUUUCCAUGGGGGAAUAUUGCUCCUUCACGCUAUUAUAAACAGUCUUCCUAUUUCGGUUUUAUCUUUCUUUGGACAGCUUGCUGCUGCUUGGAAUCUUGUAGGUGAGGAAUCAAAACCCUGAAGAACAUUUUACUAGGCUUAAUUUUUCUGUUUCAUUAGUGAUCCUUUCCUUCAUCCUCCUACAAGCCUUGGCAUUCUGGUUUCAGGUGUUGUUGUUCUCAUGAUUCUCAUCCCGUGUUGCAAAGGAAAGGGCUAGUGCCAAGUUUGUUUUCACUUACUUCAACACUGAUAAUGGGGAAGGCAUUGACAGCAAACCCUAUAUAUUUGUUCUCGGACUUCUGAUGAGUCAGUAUCCACUUACUGGGUAUGAUGCAUCUGCUCACAUGGUAAGUCUACCUUCGUUUCUUCUUCUUUUUUUCUUUGUUUUUUUUUCACAACUCUGGGAAUAAAAUCAUUGCAAACACGAGAAUUAGAGGUGGUUUUGAGAUAAAAUGGUCAGAAAAGCCUCACGACAUAGGAAAUUUGCUCAAAAUGAUCCCCAUAAGCUUUAAGUUACGGUUGAUGGGAACAUUGUAUAGCUACUUUGCUUAGUAACUUAGUAUCUUCCACUCUUCUUGGAGAUUCUGCCUAUUCCCUUGACCGUAUCAUCUAAAUGAUAUAAUCAGAUGCGUAGUUCACGUCAGCCCUUUUAUUUCCCUCAUUAUCAUCUUAAUAUUUAGAUGUGUGAAACUGAAAUCCUGCUUCUCAUAUCCUUCUUUUUCUAGACAGAGGAAACCAAGAAUGCUGAUAAGAAUGGUCCGAAAGGAAUUAUUUGUUCCAUCGGGAUAUCUAUCAUUUUUGGAUGGGGUUACCUAGUAGGCAUCACCUUUGCAGUGACAAACAUCGCCUAUCUCCUAAGCGAUGAGAACGAUGCUGCUGGUUAUGCUAUUGCGGAAAUAUUCUAUUUAGUAUUCAAAAGCAGAUUCGGCAGUGGAGUUGGGGGUAUAAUUUGCCUAGGGGUGGUGGCUGUUGCCAUAUUUUUCUGUGGCAUGAGUUCAGUCACCAGCAAUUCCAGGUAAACAUUUUUCUCUCUGGAGCUAUUAUCAUAUUGACUCUGAGUAGGAGACUCAUGCGAUGCAAAAUGUCAUGUUCAGGAUGGCUUAUGCAUUUUCUAGAGAUGGAGCGAUGCCAUUGUCAUCUCUGUGGCAUCGAGUGAAUAAGCACGAGGUCCCGAUAAAUGCAGUUUGGCUCUCCGCUUUUAUAUCCUUUUGCAUGGCGCUGACCGUAAGAACAUCGUUUUACUUUUUCACCCCUUGAAUUUUCUAUUCCUGCUUUGGCGACAUUUUAGAUCAUUUCUGUUUGAUCUCUUGACGUGGAAAGAUCCAACUAAGUGCCACUUUAGCUCUGUCCUCGCUCCAAUGCUGAUCAAUGUGCUUCUUCAAUCCGUUUUGCAGUCUCUUGGGAGCAUUGUAGCUUUUGACGCAAUGGUGUCCAUAGCGACAAUCGGGUUGUACAUUGCUUAUGCCCUCCCAAUUUUCUUCAGGGUGACGUUGGCUCGCAAGUCCUUUGUCCCGGGGCCAUUCAACUUGGGACGAUAUGGGGUGUUAGUUGGAUGGACUGCAGUCCUCUGGGUGGCGACCAUCUCGGUUCUCUUCUCGUUGCCUGUGGCCUACCCCAUCACAAAAGAGACACUCAAUUAUACUCCCGUUGCAGUUGGUGGCUUGCUCAUUCUUACGGUUUGUUCCUGGGUCUUCAGCGCUCGGCAUUGGUUUAGAGGUCCCAUAACCAAUAUAGAUACUUGAAUUCAGUGUACUAGUUGCACACGAUGUGCAGAAACGUGCAGCCAUACAAUAAAAAUGCAGUAGCUAUGCAUCCAUGAGACGGACUCUUCUUCAAUUCAUGCAUGUUCAACUGAUGAUUUAAUAAACCUAUUUUGCCUCCAUCCACAGGCAUGUGUCGCAGUUCGUGAAUUCUCCCGUACUUGUGACACUUGUGAGCGGCGUUUAGGGUUAUCGAGUGAAGAGUGAGAAUGCAAAGGGGACAAACACAACUGGUCUAUGAGAGUGGCGUUAGGACGGUUGGUGUUAGGAAUUCUAGGAUGGAAGGAUUAUAUCACGAAGGCGAGGUUGGCCUCUCGUGUAUAAAAUUGGUCGGGAGAUGAUGCUGCUCUCCUGACGAGGUCAUGGCAGGCCGAAACUAGUUAUUGAGCCUAAAGAAAUAUGUUAUUUCACUCGAUGGACUAGACGCUUGAGCGAAAUUGGGCGUAGUACGAUCUCGUACAAAGAAGCUAUUCAUUGUAUUGUUCGCUGGAAUAACUAUAGAAGGAAGGCUGGCUUGCAGGCACCCACUGGUCAUUUCGCGGUCAAGGGAACUGUUGGCCUGUGACACAUGGUAUCAGAACAGGAAUUUCUCCAUAAGUGGGUGAGUCGGAGAAUCGAACUCCUCGCUCUAAUGUGGGAUGAGCUAAGAAGUACUAGUGGUCUACCCGGUCCUACGAGGGCAUAGAGUGAAUUGCCGGGGCAAAAUAUACUCGAACAAAGUGCAGCUCUCGACUAAGCUUCUAGGAUGACAAUUGGGACACUAGGAAGAGUCAAUUCCUCGCUAAGCGGAUAGAGAGUUAGAGAAGAACUGAAUCCUCGCUGAAUGAGGAUAACGUUCCUGGAUUGAUCGGUGAAUUCAAAAAAGAGGUCUACCGUCACAAUUUUCAAUAAGGAAAGAACCUCCAUUUGGUUUGCUAGGGUCAAUGCUUAGAAGGCAAAAAUGGUGCUGCCAAAAAAUAUGAUUGGCGAAAAAUGCCAUACUUUCCAAAAAAAAGUGGAAGUGACCAAGAAUGGCCCGAACAGUUGAGAUCAAAAAAGGCUAUCAAUGGAGCAAAACCUGUUUUGUUGGGUGAACGUGACCAUUCGAUGUGAAAUCUCAAAAGUGGCGCAUCAAUGGUUAAGAGACGCAAUGAAGCGACAAAACAGAUCGCAACGAGGGCGUUGUGAAAUUGAGUGGGGGAAAAUGUCACGGCCUCCCAUACUCGUGACACUUAUGAGUAGUGCUUGGGAUUAUCGAGUGAAGAGUGAGGAUGCAAAGAGACGAACACAACUGAUCCGUGGGAGUGGCAUUAGGACGAUUGGUGCUAAGAGUUUUAGGAUGAAAAUAUUAUAUCACUUAGGAGCUCUGAAGACAAGUUGGCCUCCUGUGCACAAAUUGAUCAGAACUUGAUGCCGCUCUCCUGAUAAGGCCAUGGCAGGCCGAACUAAUUGUUGAGCCUAAAGAGAUCUGCUAGGACUAAACGCCUGAGCGAAGCUGGAUGUGGUACGAUCUUAUACAAAUAAGUUAUUCACCAUAUUGUUUGUUGGAAUAGUUAUAGAAGGAAGGCUGGACUAGCAAAUUCCGCUCACCAGGCACCGCACGGGUGGUUUCGCAGCCAAGGGAACCGUCGGCUUGUGACACAUGUCUAAAGCAUGACAUCAUUUUUUUCUUUUUUCUUUUUUCCUAAUGUUCGUUAUGUUCGUUGAUAGUUGAAGAACUUUCCCUAAGAGUAAAUGUCUGGUAUCUAAGAAGGCUAUUUAUGUCAACUGCAAAAUCAUCACAUUAUAAUUCAGCUUUGAGAGGAUUGAUUUUUAGCUCUUUGCAAUUUGACUGCGUACGGCAUGUUUUGAAGUAAUAAGAAAAUGUUAAUAUUAGAUUGGCAAUGUGAUAAUGACCUAAAAUUUACAGUGAUCAACUCGUUCACCCGUUAUAGGAUUUGGGACUUGGUCAAUCCCUGGUGUUGGUGUAUUGGGAAAUAAUUUGGGUCACACGUGUACUAAGAGUCUAUUUAGUAAUUGACCAAGUAGUACUUGAUUCUAUUUUUCUCCACCCAAAAAAAAGAAAAAUCCGUUAAGUAGACUUUUUGUUCCUGAGAAUAGAUUUGGAGUAGAAUUAAAAAGUAUAAAAAAAAGUUAUCUCUUUGUUCUCGAAAACGACUUCAAAAUCAUAUUAAUGUUUUUCUUCUUUUCUUCUUCUCCUUUUUCCUUUGGCCGAUCACUAGCCUCAGCCAACCCAACGACCUCAUCAAAGAGUCGUUGGCCCCACUGAGGCCAAGCUCGCCCAACCGUUGGGGAGCCUCGGCCUCCCUGGAGGUCACCAACCAAAGGAAGAAUGAGAAGAAGAAAAGGGGAAAAAAGAAAAAAAAGAGAGAGAGAAAUAUAAUUAAUUAUUAAAAAAAAUUAAAAAGAAUUUGAAGCCCUAUCAAACGCAUUUCUAUUUCGAGAAUAAAAAUUUCAAACAAUUACCAAAUUUAUUCAAAUGCUCAUAAACUCCUCUAUGAACAAAAUUAAAAAGAAAAUAGAAUAAUUAUCAACCUAAAAGUACUUUGAGAUAAUACUUCCAUCAAACGCUGAAAUGAUAUGCUAUAAUUGCAUGCUUACUUAUGACUCAAGACGUUAGUUAUCGCAUAAAAUCUAUGAAGAUCAGUCAUGGAGAAUUGCUUUCCCUCUGAGACCACUGGCCAAAAAGAGCGACGCCGUCAUCCACACUGCCAUUCCCACGUGGCGAUCGUCCAUUGGGCGGCAUGUCCUGGCUAGUGGAUAACAGUAUGGGCCUCACAUGCGCAACCCAGAUAACGUCAAUGGGGCCCACACAACCCACAUGUCGUCGACCCACGUAAGAAAGUUUCGCCCCCGCAGAGCUAGAGGGAUUUGUUCGGUUCCAAGUUCUAAGGUAUGCGGGAUAGGUUCUUAGUUCAAAAAAUUGAGUAACUUGUUUUGAUAGAUAGACUCGAAAUUCUAGGUAGGUAGAACCUAAAAAUUUAUGACAAAAAAAAAGGAAAAAACCCACAACCUGUAACAUUACUUUUUUUUAAUUUAUAUCUUCAUGCUAUUUUGUGGUAUGAUAAGUAUAUAAUUUGGAAUCAUUAGUCUGAACUUCUAUUUUACAAUCGAGGCUUUUACUUUGUUAAUAUUUCAUAUUCUUUAUUUGUCUAAAUGUGGUCGGUGGAUUAUUGCAACAAGUAAUAGUUAUUAAAGGUAAUGAUCUAUUACCAUCGUUCUAAUGUAAGUAAAACUUGAAUAAAAUCUUGAACCUACCUUGAAAUCUGUGACAGGAUAAAUUCUAAAAUAUUAUAUGUGUUUUAGAUUUUAGAUAGAAUUUAUACGGAAUCUGCAACAAUCUAGAACACUCACCCCUAAUGAAGACGAGGGGGAGGGGGAGUGGGGUACACAAGUCCAAGCUUUGAGCAAGAUUUGGCCGGGGGCGAUGAGCACGAUAUACCGCCAAACCGUCUCGCAAUGUGAGGGAGAGGCGAUUGAAAUUCCGCGGAGCCAUUUGGGAGCUGGGCAGAAUGCGAUUGUCAGAAGUUUUUGAUCCAAAUAGAAAAUGGUGAGUUGGCAAACAAAGGGAUGGCACGGGAUUUGAUUACUGCUCGGGCCCUGCCCACGUCCCGUGAUCCAGUCGCAGUAUUCUAACAGUCGGCUCGUCAAGCUACUCCUCCAAUCCUACACGCACACCCGUCGAUCUCUUCGCUUUUCCUAGGAAAAGUACUUGGACCGUUAGAUGCGGGAUCCCUCACAUCACCAUCAUUCCCCACGCUCUCCAUCCCUUUUUUUUUUCAUACUUCUGCCGACUUCUCUAUCGCUACUAAAGUCAAGGGGAGAAUCGCCGAGAAAGUCACGAUUCCCCCUGCUUCUGAGACUCUUCUCCCCUUGGCAAGAACUGACCCCAUGGCGAUGGCGAGCCGCGGCGGAGACUGGGCGGGUACAUCCGCGGCGGCAGCCGAGGAAUACCAUCUCCUCCCCGACCGAGGGGACCGCGAGGCCAUCGAGGAUGCUUCCGACGAUUCUCGACUCAAACAGCUCGGUUACAAGCAAGAGCUCCGCCGCAGCCUCACGUGCGUACCUUCCCCCCCUCUCUGCCCUCUCCCGAAUUUCGUUUUCUGAUUCUUUGAUUAGUUAAUCGACCGAAAUUAAGGCGCUUGAACUCGAAAAUCCCCUUCUCUCUCUCUCUCUCUCCGUGCAUUUUUCCCUGAAAAUGGUGCGGUGAUCCGUGGAGAUGUGAUCGGUAUCUGGAAUGAGAGGUUCGAUUUGGGUCGGAUGUUCCUUUCUGGGGACACACGUCUCUUCAUGUCCUUUAUAUUUUUCUCCUCGUUAGAACGAUGGCUUCACAUUCGCCCAAUGGGAGUGGCAGAGGUGGAAUGUGACGGUCGGGUCGGGUCGGAUCGGUUUUGAAUGGAUUAUUCAUGCACAGAAUCUGUAUAAAAGCGACCCAUUUCAUUUCAUCCGACUCCAACAGGUGCACUUGAGAGUUUACGUAGAAUCGUGAUAGAUUACACGGGCCAUUUUGUUUAAGUACGUGUUCGUUUUCUUAUUUUCAGUCUGGUUUCUGCUUGCACGGAGGAAGCCUUAGAUUUUAUACUAGUUUUUGAACUUUUGUUUAAUUUCUUAUGACUUUUCUGAACUUUCAAAUCCAUUUCAUUUUAUAUCCCUAUACUUUUAAGUUAAUAUGUAUUAUUGUCUUUGAACUUUCAAUUAAUUCAAUCAGGUGCUUGUAUUGUUUCAAAGUAUUCAAUGUGUCUUUGGGGUUUUGAGCAGGGCGAUCGCCAACUUCUCUGUGACUUUCUCCAUAGUAUCGGUACUCACCGGACUCACCACCAUGUACGGGACAGGGCUCACCUACGGCGGACCCUUGACCAUGAUCUACGGCUGGCCAUUCGUGGGCAUGAUGACUCUGGUGGUCGGUUUCUCCAUGGCCGAGAUCUGUUCCGCUUUCCCGACCUCCGGCGGCCUCUACUUUUGGAGCGCCAAGCUCUGCGGGACUGAGUGGGGACCCGUCGCCUCUUGGUUCACUGGCUGGUACGCCAUCACUCUCUCCUUUUUAGCUAAACUUUACUUGCAAUACCAUGUUAGAUAGGCAUAUGACAUAUCCAAACGCAAUCUCUGCAAACAUAACCAGAAAGCGGUUUUGCAUUUAGACCCGCCCAUUUCGACUUUAGGCCCGCCUCAAUACUGGAUCCAAGAAGUCAGUAGGGCGUUACAUAUGUUCAGAUUAACCUAUCCAACGUGGGCUUCCUUGUCCGAAAAAUAACCAAGUAAACAAACGAAUACUCGGCCAGAUUUAUGUGCGGUAUCGCGUGUCUUUUAGAAUGGUGCUUAGCCUUAUUUGCGGUACCAAAAUUCCAUGGCAUUCCGGUCGAAGACCUUCUUAAAAUUGCCUGCGCAGAGCGCAGUGCCUUAUCCAGAUCCAACUACAAAACUGACUGGCCCACGAUAUAGCCCAAUGUAGAAAAUGGGGCGCGUUUUGGAUGCAGACAAGGCCCACCGUAUGGUGGUACGGUACAAGAGCAUCGAACGUGGUCCAGAUCGUCUGGCUCCGACCAAUUUGGAUCAAAAAUAAUUUUCUUCUUUCGUCCCGGUCCCGUCAUGUGGUUACAUGCUUUGCCACCGUGCGAGAUCUCUCAUCGAUUUGCCAGCCAUGCUCCAUCGCAUUCCCAUAUGGACAAAGAAAAUCAGAUCAAAGAUUCACAUUUUCCUCUUUCUCGGGUCAAAGAUUCAGAUUCGGUUUCGAAGUUUUAGCGCGCACGUUUCGCUGACCCGAAAGCCCGCGGGGGCUGAAUUUUCUAAAACGUCCCUCCAUGCGACACUUAUAAAUUAUACUUUUCUGGUCAACUUUGCUGAUCGAUGCAUAAUUUUAUUAUAUUUUCGUGUGGUUUCUAAGGAAACACGUUCGUGCCCUCGAACUUCCGUCUCCAUGGCAAAAGCGGGCGAUGAUUUUACCUUGGAAAAAAGCGCAACCUGAAAUUCGGAAAAAUCGUUCCGUGAAGAGAAACUUCGUGCGUUGAAAUUGUUGACUCGCCGGACAUGGCCACGUAGCAUGCGUCAGGAAACUUAUCACUUGGUUCAACUUGGCCAUAUUUUUUGGGAUGCCGGGAGCUUAACACAAAACUAUAGUUUGUUCCAGUUUAACAACGUUUUGUUUUUUUCUUUCCUAUUAAGAAUUAAAAUUCUCUAUGACUUUAAAUUAGUACACGUGAACUUACGUGUCGAUAUUUGUAUUCUAUAGAUUUUGGUUAAAAAGUACCGUGUCCGAAUACGUGAAAACAGUCAACUUAUGUCAUAUAGUUUACGCAUUCCAAUGAAGAAGGAUGCCAGACAGAGGCACGGAAAGCGACAUGAAGGGGGGCACGAUGUCAACCUCUGGAUCGCGUCGGCAGAAGGACAGCGAAAACUUAAUCGAAUCUCGAUCUCGAUGAAAUAGGAUUCUCUUUCACCGAAAAAGGGAAAAAAAAAAAUAAGAAACAAGAAAAGAAGAGAGAAAAGUGUUCACAUGCACAAAUUCCUCCCGGCCUUAUGAUGAAAUUUCUAACAUUAGAUUUCAACGUCCUGCGUCUCGAUUUCGAUUGGCUGUCUUGCGUAUGACAGGCGGGAGUCAGCCGACGCCUAACACAAUCAUGGCUUAAAAAAGAAAAAAGGGGAAUAUAAAGAAAAUCAAGAAUCGACUGAUGACCGAAGAGACGAAACAGUAUCAACCCGACUUGAGAAGGGGAAGCAUCGUUUUCAAGUAGUCAUGCUCACAAGCUCUCGCGUCUUGCUUUCUUGAUUCCCUUUCCUUCAUUCCGUCACUGGCUGCUCUGUUUGACCAUCUCCUCAGAGGUGCAAUCCAAGAAAAGAGCCGCUCCCUCUGAUAUUUUGAGAUGACUUUGCUGCGGUGAUUCUGAUUGGAUUGCUCCUCUGAAGUGGGAGAACUCCGCUCCUCCCUAGAACUUAUCAAACAAACAGAGAAGAUCUCGAGGGGGGAGAAACAGAAGCAGAGAGGCUGAACAGAGCAUUCUUAAAGUCUCCCUUUUUCUAGGCCGUGUGAAGGAGAAGGAGAAGGAGAAGAAGGAGAAGAUGGUUUAUGAUCGGGAUAAAAGGGACCUCCCGACUCGCGCAGCUCAAAACGGGGCCGACGCCGUUGACUCGGGCCACACCCGUCUGCACGAGCUCGGCUACAAGCAGGAGCUCAAGCGCGACCUCUCGUAACGCUCUCUCUUCCUCCUCGUGUACCUCCAUAGUUUCUUCCGUUGGGCUCUUUGCUGAGGCGUUUGGGUCGUUUGGUUCGGUUCGGUUUUGGCGGGGGGUGAAUUUUUUGGUUGCAGGGUGAUAUCGAAUUUCGCGUUCUCGUUCUCGAUUAUAUCGGUGCUCACCGGCAUAACCACGCUCUUCAACAAUGGGCUCCGGUACGGCGGGACGGCCUCGAUGGUCUACGGGUGGUUCGUCGCUGGUUUUUUCACCAUGUUUGUCGGGUCGUCCAUGGCUGAAAUAUGUUCAGCUUACCCGACCUCUGGGGGCCUCUAUUACUGGAGCGCCAAGCUCGCAGGCCGGAAUUGGGCACCGUUCGCUUCUUGGUUGACUGGCUGGUAAAUUGUCUCAUCAAUUAGUUUUAUGACGAGAUAAGUGUUUAUGCAGAUAUCGAUACUAAUACCCGCAAUGGAGACCCUGGUUUCUCCCCAGCAUCCUAUAUCCUAUAUUAGCGAAUCGAAUUUGUUCAUUUCCAGUAUCAUUGCUUCUACAAGUAAUUGUGUUCGAUGUAAUGGAUAAAGUCAAUCACAGUAUUGCUAUUGAGCGGGGAUGCAUGUUCUUUUGUGGGGUCUGGGGUCGUGUCACUUUCCGUGAAAAGUGAUUGCUUGCGGAUUUAGUAGCUGCCUCAGUAACAAUUGCUUGAUUUUGGUUGGAUUUUGUAAGUCCUUUCACAUUCUAGAAAGCUUGUCAAGAACGUCUCAUUGCUGUCCCUUUCUCUUCAUGAUCACGGUCAUGAACCAGUGAGAAUUGCAGCCAACGUAGGAUGAGAUGCAGUAGCAGCAAUUUGAAAAUUGAAACCCGCUCCUUUUCCUACAGCCCCUCCAGUUUGCUGUAACUUCGAUGAUAGGCAGGGCGAUGGUUUGAACAUUAUAAAGUGAACAACUAUGACAGACGAGUGUGGUUCAUACAAAAAGCUCAAAUUCAUAGAACAGCUAUUGCUUCUUUAGUUUGGUAGGCUCAAAUUCUGCCUGAGGAGGUGCGAGUACUGCAGUCGAUAGCUCUAGUGUAAACUCAGAGAUGCAUCACAUAAAGGUAGUGCAAGCAUGGAAGUGUUACUGUGUUGUGCUUAAACCCGUUAUCUUGCGUGUAUGGCUGGACCCUCUCGUGAACUGCGAUUGUUCAUUGGCAUUAUGGCAUGCAGCAAGAUUGACUGUAGGGAAUUAAGAAAAGGGGACUAAUUCACUUCUCCUUACAAGCCCAUUUAUCUGGCAAUGGUUUUUAAGAGCAAAUUCUGAAUGUCUGGGUACUACCUUGACAUGAGUUCUACAUAUGCCAUUCCAUUUACUUAGUCAAUUUAAAAUAAGACACAGAGAUCCUAUACUUGCAUCUUAAGAUAUGUAAAUCGGAUAGACCACAUGAAACUCUUAAUAUUUUAGUUGUGCAAUCUAACCCCACU
rnacentral:lncRNA from 1 species